GCUGGUGUGAGACGAGAAAAUCCUGCCUUGCCGCCGGGAUAAUCAAGAGUUUUGACCGGACCUCUGAGCAUACGCUGAGAGAGUGAGGAGCCAGACGACAAGCACACACUAUGGCGCUGAAACGGAUUAAUAAGGAACUUAGUGAUUUGGCCCGUGACCCUCCAGCACAAUGUUCUGCAGGUCCAGUUGGGGAUGAUAUGUUUCAUUGGCAAGCCACAAUUAUGGGAUCUAAUGACAGCCUAUAUCAAGGCUGUGUAUUCUUUUUGACAAUUCAUUUUCCUACAGACUACCCCUUCAAACCACCUAAGGUUGCAUUUACAACAAGAAUUUAUCAUCCAAAUAUUAACAGUAAUGGCAGCAUUUGUCUCGAUAUUCUAAGAUCACAGUGGUCACCUGCUUUAACAAUUUCUAAAGUUCUUUUAUCCAUUUGUUCACUGCUAUGUGAUCCAAACCCAGAUGACCCCCUAGUGCCAGAGAUUGCACGGACCUAUAAAACAGACAGAGAUAAGUACAACAGAAUAUCUUGGGAAUGUACUCAGAAGUAUGCCAUGUGAUGCUACCUUAAAGUCAGAAUAACCUGCAUUAUAGCUGGAAUAAACUUUAAAUUACU